rnacentral:rRNA from 1 species
GACGAACGCUGGCGGCGUGCUUAACACAUGCAAGUCGAACGGAAAGGCCCUGCUUUUGUGGGGUGCUCGAGUGGCGAACGGGUGAGUAACACGUGAGUAACCUGCCCUUGACUUUGGGAUAACUUCAGGAAACUGGGGCUAAUACCGGAUCGGAGCUCCUGCUGCAUGGUGGGGGUUGGAAAGUUUCGGCGGUUGGGGAUGGACUCGCGGGUUAUCAGCUUGUUGGUGGGGUAGUGGCUUGCCAAGGCUUUGGCGGGUAGCCGGCCUGGGAGGGUGACCGGGCACAUUGGGACUGAGGUACGGCCCAGACUCCUACGGGAGGCAGCAGUGGGAAAUAUUGCACAAUGGGAGGAAGCCUGAUGCAGCAACGCCGCGUGCGGGAUGACGGCCUUCGGGUUGUAAACCGCUUUCGCCUGUUACGAAGCGUGAGUGACGGUAAUGGGUAAAGAAGCACCGGCUAACUACGUG